UCAACAGGUGGCACUGUAGGGCUCCCCCUGCACUGCACACCUGUUGGUCAUUAGGUAAUUAGUGCUUUAAAAGGACUCCCAGCCCAACCACUCAUGGUCGGGUCAUUGUUGUGUUUUGCUACUGUCACGUAUGUUUGUUGCUGCUUGUUCCGGUCAAGUUUGUUUCGGUUAUGUUUCUGUUAUUGAGUUUUUAGCUUCUGCCAUGGUUUUGUUUGUUACUUUGGAUUCGUUUUGUUCUUGGGACUUUGUUUUGGAUUUAGUUUCCUGUUUUAAUACAAUUCAUCAAGUACAACCUGCUCAUCCCUCCUGCCUGCUUUUUGGGGUCCACCACCACCUUGCAAAAGUGACA